UACGUAGGGGGCAAGCGUUGUCCGGAAUCAUUGGGCGUAAAGAGCGCGUAGGCGGCCCUGUAAGUCCGCUGUGAAAGUCAAGGGCUCAACCCUUGAAUGCCGGUGGAUACUGCAGGGCUAGAGUCCGGAAGAGGCGAGUGGAAUUCCUGGUGUAGCGGUGAAAUGCGCAGAUAUCAGGAGGAACACCGAUGGCGAAGGCAGCUCGCUGGGACGGUACUGACGCUGAGAAGCGAAAGCAUGGGGAGCGAACAGG
rnacentral:rRNA from 1 species